rnacentral:rRNA from 1 species
GUAGCUUAAAGAUUUAUCGGUAAAAGAUGGGCAUGCGUCUGAUUAGCUAGUUGGCGGGGUAACGGCCCACCAAGGCGACGAUCAGUAGGGGUUCUGAGAGGAAGGUCCCCCACACUGGCACUGAGAUACGGGCCAGACUCCUACGGGAGGCAGCAGUAGGGAAUAUUGGGCAAUGGUCGCAAGACUGACCCAGCCAUGCCGCGUGCAGGAAGACGGCCCUCUGGGUUGUAAACUGCUUUUAUCUGGGAAGAAAAAGUCCAUGCGUGGAAAAUUGCCGGUACCAGAUGAAUAAGCACCGGCUAACUCCGUGCCAGCAGCCGCGGUAAUACGGAGGGUACAAGCGUUGUCCGGAUUUAUUGGGUUUAAAGGGUGCGUAGGCGGCUGAAUAAGUCAGCGGUGAAAGACUUCGGCUUAACCGGAGCAGUGCCGUUGAUACUGUUUGGCUUGAGUGUUGGAGGGGUACAUGGAAUUGAUGGUGUAGCGGUGAAAUGCAUAGAUACCAUCAGGAACACCGAUAGCGAAGGCAUUGUACUGGCCAACAACUGACGCUGAGGCACGAAAGUGUGGGGAUCGAACAGGAUUAGAUACCCUGGUAGUCCACACUGUAAACGAUGAUUACUCGCUGUUAUGGUGUAUACUGUAGCGGCCCAGCGAAAGCGUUAA